GUAGAUAUAGUUUAACAAAAAUACUAGAUUGUGAUUCUAGAGACAGAGGUUAAACUCCCCUUAUCCACC
rnacentral:tRNA from 3 species